CUCUCUAGUGAUCCAUUGCUUUGUGGGUGAAAGGCCGUUGUGCGAAGCUGUUGAAUAUGAAACUUCUUCGUGAUGCUUCUCAUCAAAUGAUUUAAAAAGUUGGUACCUUGAUCGCAGUUGCAUCUGCGAGUGGCACAUAAACAGAGUAUUAAGUCAGAAGGUCUUGCAUGGUGAGCACAUAUCCAUUUCCACGUCCUGUUCUGGGUAAAGGUCCGACUAUAUCGAGAGCGACCUUGUCGAAGGCGCGUCCCAGAGUAUCUAAGAACUGUUGUUUUAUACGUAAAUAUGUCUUCGUGACUCCUUUGUGUCCCCCGACUGUUGACGCAUGAUUCUCUGCGAUGAUUUUUGUUCUGUUUUCUACUGGUGGUGUGAUGAUGGCUCCUUGACAAACCGAUAUAGAUACCGGGCGAUCGGAGAAUGUCUUGCGAAAAUAAUGCAAUAUAUUUUGCCAGUUAAAGCUAUUAUAUGACGGCCGGGAAAGAUGACGAUAUUACACAUGCUCUUCCUAACAUUAAGUUAUCUACUGAAGGC